rnacentral:rRNA from 1 species
AUACGGAGGGUGCAAGCGUUGUCCGGAAUUAUUGGGUGUAAAGGGUGUGCAGGCGGGGCGGUAAGUCAGGGGUGAAAGUCUACGGCUCAGCCGUAGGAUGGCCUUUGAUACUGUCGUCCUUGAGUCCCGGAGAGGCCAUUAGAAUUCGUGGUGUAGCGGUGAAAUGCGUAGAUAUCACGAGGAAUACCGGAAGCGUAGGCGGAUGGCUGGACGACGACUGACGCUCAGGCACGAAAGCGUGGGGAGCGAACAGGAUUAGAUACCCUGGUAGUCCACGCUGUAAACGAUGGAUGCUCGGUGUUCGACUCCGUUAGCGGGUUGAGUGCCCAAGUUAACGCGAUAAGCAUCCCACCUGGGGAGUACGCUCGCAAGAGUGAA